rnacentral:rRNA from 1 species
GACGAACGCUGGCGGCGUGCUUAACACAUGCAAGUCGAACAGUGGCGGACGGGUGAGUAAUGCUUGGGAAUCUAGCUUAUGGAGGGGGAUAACUAAGGGAAACUGUAGCUAAUACCGCGUACAAUAGGAUGAGCCCAAGUGGGAUGAGGUAGUUGGUGGGGUAAAGGCACACCAAGACGACGAGCUCUAGCUGGUCUGAGAGGAUGACCAGCCACACUGGGACUGAGACACGGCCCAGACUCCUACGGGAGGCAGCAGUGGGGAAUAUGGCGCAAUGGGGGCAACCUGACGCAGCCAUGCCGCGUGAAUGAAGAAGGCCUUCGGGUUGGAAAGUUCUUUCGGUAGCGAGGCGUUAACUACAGAAGAAGCACCGGCUAACUCCGUGCCAGCAGCCGCGGUAAUUC